CUUCAUACCCAGUAGGCAUGAGUAGAAGAAGCAAAGAAAAAGAAAAUGGGAUGGAUCAGAAUAAAAACUUUCUCUGAUCUUAUCAACCUUGGUUCAUGAGCAGCGAAAUUCUGGAAAAGUUUAUAUCCUCACGAAAGGAGACAAUAGUCCUUCCGAUGACAGGGCAAAUUAUGCUCAGGGCCAACUUUGGUUGCAACGACACCAUGUCAUUGUGAGAGUUGUUGGUACAUAUUUAUAGUCACAAUGGGAUUGCGGGCCAUGACUGAUGAUUAGAUACAAAUUUCCCGUUUCAAUACAUGGUUCUCACCAUACAAAUUUUUCUUUCUAGACAGACCAAGAAGAAAGGAGAUGGAUAGGAAAUUAGGCAUGGUCAUACUCCACAUCUUUUCUGUUCUGUAGACUGACAGUCAAAACACUGCCAAUUGGAUUAAAUACCUGUUAAGGUUAAUAUCA